rnacentral:rRNA from 1 species
CGCGCAGGUGGUUUCUUAAGUCUGAUGUGAAAGCCCACGGCUCAACCGUGGAGGGUCAUUGGAAACUGGGAGACUUGAGUGCAGAAGAGGAAAGUGUAAUUCCAUCUUGUAGCGGGGGAAAAGCGUAGAGAAUAUGGAGGAACACCACGCGGCGAAGGGGACUUUUCUUGUUUUGUAAAAGACACUUAGGCGCGAAAAGAGUGGGGAGCAAACACGAGUUUAUACCCCCGUAGUUCACCCCCGUAAAAGAUGAGUGCUAAGUGUUUGAGGGUUUUCGCCCCUUUGUGCUGAAGUUAACGCAUUCAGCACUCCUCCUGGGGAGUACAGCCGCAAAGGUGAAAAUCAAAGGAAAUGACGGGGGGCCGCCCAAGAGGGUGGGGCAUGUGGUUUUAUUUGAAGCAACGCGAAGAACCUUACCAGGUGUUUACAUCCUUUGUCAACCCCAGAGAUAGGGCGUUUCCUUUUGGAGCACAGUGACAAGUGGUGCACGGUUGUUGUCAGCUCGUGUCGUGAGAUGUUGGGUUAAGUCCCCCAACGAGCGCAACCCCCGAUUUUUUUUGCCCUCAUUUUUUUGGGCACUCUAAGGUGACUGCCGGUGACAAACCGGAGGAAGGUGGGGGGGACGUCAAAACAUCAUGCCCCCUUUGACCUGGGGUACACACGUGGUACAAAAGACGGUACAAAGAGGUGCAAGACCGCGGGGGGGAGGUAAUUUUAUAAAACCCUUUUCAGUUCGGAUUGUAGGGUGCAACUCGCCUACAAGAAGCGGGAAUCGCUAGUAAUUGCGGAUCAGCAUGCCGCGGUGAAUAAGUUCCCCGGCCCUGUACACACCGCCCGUCACACCCCGAGAGUUUGUAACACCCGAAAUCGGUGGGGUGACCUUUUUGGAGCCAGCCGCCUAAGG